CGAUGCAGUGCAGGGACAGCACUGGGAUGCAGUGGGGGCAGUGCAGGGACAGCAUUGGGAUGCAGUGGGGAUGCAGUGGAGGGACAUGGGGGGACAUGGCAGAGACAUAAUGAGGACAGCGGGGGGAUGCAGUGGGGGACAGUGUGGGGUCAGUGGGGACGCAGUGCAGAGACUGUGCAGGGACAACAUUGGGAUGCAGUGGGGACGCAGUGGGGGCAGUGCAGGGACAGCACUGGGAUGCAGUGGGGAUGCAGUGGGGGCAG
ensembl:lncRNA